rnacentral:misc_RNA from 2 species
CAACCCUCAAGCACCGCUUGGCGUUGGCGGGCUACAGCGCUUUUAGUGCCGUAGCCGCCCAAAUACAUUGGCGGUCCCGCCGUGGCUCCCCUUGCGUAGUAACUCACCUCGCACCGGGUCCAGGCGGCGGCCUGCCGUAAAACUCUUAUUUUUAAAA